AGCUCCAAUAGCGAAUAUUAAAAUUGUUGCAGUUAAAAAGCUCGUAGUUGGAUCCAAGGUUAGGCGCAUCUGUCUGUUCUUAGUAGCAUGACUGUUUGCGUCUGCCUUUAUUAGUUGACUGAACAUUAUGGUGGUCUUAAUUGAUUGCUGUAAUGUGCUCAACACGUUUACCUUGAAAAAAUCAGAGCGAUUAAAGCAGGCCUUUGUGCUUGUAUGUUCUUGCAAGGAAUAAUAGAAUAGGACUUCGGUUCUAUUUUGUUGGUUUUGAGAAUUGAAGUAAUGAAUAAUAGAGACAGUCGGGGGCAUUUGUAUGGUGGCGUUAGAGGUGAAAUUCUGAGAUCGUCGCCAGACAAACUACUGCGAAAGCAUUUGCCAAGGAUGUCUUCA
rnacentral:rRNA from 1 species